rnacentral:lncRNA from 1 species
CUUCCACAUCAUUCUAUUAUGGACUUCACUUGAGUCAGAAUCAGGUUCACCAUCUUGAAGAACCUCGUGAGCACAAAUAUCAUCUUUUCCACUAUACAACUCACAUUGUUCACUGGUUUCAUUGGACAACACAGUUCGGUCUGCCAAAAUUUCUGCUCUCUCAUCAUUUAACUCACUGCAAUGCCCUCCAGAUGACAGCACUGAAACACGCCAGUCUAUUACUCACAAGAGGAUACUUAUAAAAGUACAACAUUUUAUUGCAUAUGUAAAAAUAAAGAGAGAAGAGAAAAACUGCACAAUUUUCGAAGAAGUGGAAAAAAACUGUCUUCAGACCUUCCAAUUCUUGGAUACACAAAUUGUCUAAGGUAGUAUUAAACUUAAAGGGACCAUAUUACUGUUGCAUAAAUCUACAUGAUAAAUGUCCUCUUGUAAAACAUAGAUGAUUGGAUGGAAGCUAUGGACAAAAUCCUUCCACCCGUUCACCCCCUACCCCUAUUCAGCCUCAGCCAAUUGGCUAAGCUACAUAACUCACUGUGCAUUCUUG